ensembl:misc_RNA Metazoa_SRP Metazoan signal recognition particle RNA
GCCGGGUGUGAUGGCUCACUCCUGUAAUCCCAGCACUUUGGGAGGCUGAGGUGGGCGGAUUACCUGAGGUCAGGAGUUCAGCCUGACCAACAUGGUGAAACCCCGUCUCUA